GCUCCAGAGAUGGAGAUUUCUAAAUGUCUUCUGUUACGUACCAUCCCAUGUGGAUUCCCACUUACCAAAGUGGUGUUUGUUAAACACAAUCCAUAAUGUAGAGCCUCGAUACAACAAAGGAUCAAGAUCUGAUACGUGUUUAAUUAAUUUUUCCUCAGGAACUUGGACUUGGCCCAUCAGUUACCAGUUCAUGUAGUCUCCCAAGGGGGACUGUUUUAAGACACUAGGACGGGAAACUUAGCUUCUUGGGGUUUGUCAGACUCUGCCACGGGAGUUUUCUUCUCGUACAUUUCAGAAGGCUUGAAAAGUAAAACUGAGUUUUACGAAUGCAUCCUUAGAUCCUUUUCCUUGGUCACGGAAUUACAAUCUCUCGGUGGGUGCAGAACAUACCAGCCCCAACUUGAAAAUGCAUUCUGAACAGGCAAAACAAAUUGCGUCUGAACCGUGCAAAGGAUUGCUACAAAAGAAGCUAAUUCGAGGCUGCAUUUGCGGACAUGUUUCAUGUCAGUAUGUUUCGUUCAAAUCUUUUUUCUUCCUCAUAGAAUAAUUACUUAUUUGUGCUUGGUGCCAUUGAGAUUAGGGGUAUUGUACCGAUAAGGGUAGAUAACAAAAAAUGUUUAUUUAGGAUUAGGGAAACAUCUCAGAGACUGAACUUGAGUUUCGUGGUCUGGGAGUAUCCUGAGCACGUAUGCACCUGCUUUCUUCAUAACGUUCUUACUGUGAUAUACAAAGUUAAAAGUUAUAUAUAAACCCUGGCUAUUCUUUAUUGCACUGGAAGAGGCUGCCUGAAUCAUCUGAUGUUGUAGUUUUUCUACACUUCUGUUAGCACCACUUGUUAAGAAAAAUCUUCAAGGGGGAGAUAACACAAUAAAAUAGAGCAUUAAGAAAAAUAUUCAAGGGGGAAGAUACUCAACUAAAAUAGAGUAAGUGUUGGUUUCCUUUCGGAAACCUGUUAUGUUCUCAAAAAACGGGGAAAAAGAAAAACCCACAAAGAUAGAAAAUAUGGUUGUUUGUACAAACUGUUUCUUGUGUGAAUCUUGUGUGUGAGCAAAAAAUCCCACGUCUCUUGGGAGUUGAAAAAUGUGCCAAUAUAACAAGUGUAAGGGUACCCUUUUCUCAAUAGCUAGAUUUUAGGGUAAGUUUACUCAAGCAUUGUUUCAUGGUAAUAUGGGUAGGUGUGUGUCCCGGGCCUGCCGUGGCAGUGAUUGCCGAGUGUGAGCACGCUGGGCGUGAGGGAAGGUGUGAAGCGAAAGUUCCUUACUCGCUUGAAAGUUGAAAUACUGUGCAAUAUAUAAGUGUAAGGGCAUUCUUUUCUCAAUAGUUAGCUUUUAGGGUAAGUUCUACCCAAAUAUUGUAUCACCUUGUACAGUCACGAAGUAAUGAUGCGGUGAGGCAACGUCUGAGUGCCUUGAGUGAACCCCAACUUUUAACUUGGCUGCACAAGGAAUGACAGUACUGUUAGUGCUGUUUGGCCCGCGUGGUAGGACCCCCAACUUUUAACCUGGCUGAAAGAAUGACAGUACUGUAGUGUGGUCUUGGCCACGUUGGCGGACCCGACCGACGUUAAAUCAGAAGGGAAACAAGGUAAAGUUAAGGCAAAUUGUAGCCGUUGAGGCUGUGCAAGUGUGGACGUAGGCCCUGUGACGAAUCACGUUAAUUUCUUUAUAUUCUUGUUCUUUCCUUCUCGUUUUAGUUUCUUCCAUUUACAUAAUAAAAUUUGACAUAAUACUAGAGCGAGUUGUUAAAAAUAAUUUUCACUUAUCUCCCCUCAGGUUUUGAUAAAUAUAGUCAAUUUUUUGGUAGUUUAAAAAUAAUGCUAACAUUUGUUACUUUUGAAAUUAUUGUCCAGAUUUUAGAGUUAUUUUUUUUGAAAAAAUAACAAAAUUACCUUAUAUUUAAAGAAAAUAAAUGAAUAUUUUUUUUUCAAAACUCAAUUUAAUUGUCAAUUAUUUUAUUUUUAUCAAUAAAUAAUUUUUUUAGAAAGAAUUGAUAUAAUUAGUUUACCUUUUACUAGACAUACUAAAAAAAUAAAUUUUGUUAUUGUUAUUUUUUUCAAAAGGAGAGAUUAAUUUUAAGAAAAUUGUUAACUAUAGCCAUAGGUGCGAUCGAUGUGAAUGAUUAGACACUCCUUGCUGUAAAAUGUCAUGAUAAUGCCAGAUUCUAGUCAAAUCUUUAAAGUUUAAAUUGCAAAGCAAAUGACAAAAUUCACCCUUUCUCUAUUCUCCAAUUUUUAAUUUUUUUACAUAGCAAAUUAUUUUCUCUCAUUUUUUUUAACAAAAAUAUUACUCCACCUUAUACCCUGUUUGGGGUAAUGUUUUUUUUUAAUUGCUUUGUUUUUUGAGUUUUUUUUUUAUUUUUAGUGAACUUUUUAUCACCAUUUAAUCAAAAAAUUAUACUUUUCUGGUUCUUACUGACGAGAGAGUCUGAAAAUAUGAAAUUUUUAUGAUUUUUUUUUUUUAAAAAAACUAAAUAUAAUUUUUUUUUGGGGGGGAUAAAAGUACUUUUUUCGUUUUUAGUGAACUUUUUUUCAAAUUAGAUAGAAAAUUUUAUAUUCUUGAACUCCUAUUUUCAAGAUGAACCGAAAAAUAUAAAAUUUUGAUCGAAUGGUGAAAAAAGUUUACUAAAGAAAAAAAAUCUCAAAAAGCAAAAUAUUUAGAAACCCAAAAACAACUUUCUCCAAACACUUUUGUAUUGCAUGCCAGCAUUGUUUUGUGAUUUUCACUUGAAUAAAAGCAUAAAGUUUUUUUUUUGUAAAUUUUUCAAUAAUGCUAUGGUUACUCGAUGGAAAGGGCAUGUUUAAAUAAUUUUUUCACUCGGCAUGUAAGUUCUUUUUAAAUUAAUCAUUACCCUUAAAAACCCGAUAAAAAACGAACAAGAUAUGAGUUUUAUAAAAAUUCUAUCCAAAAUUCGACCCGAUCUGACCUGCACCCAAUAUAAUUUUAGGAUAUUACCCCUAAUAACUAUAAGCUAGUAUAUAAUAUAUUUAUAGUAAAGCAUUGCUAAUGUUUAUACAGUUCUAUUUAUUCAAUAGUAAAUCCAUUUUUUUUAUCUUUAUUAGGGUAAAUUUUUUUAAAUGUAAUUUUAAUGUAGUGAAAACAUUUGGUAAAACUGGAUUGUUUAGGUAAAUUCAUACUAAUAAAAACAAAUAAAAGAGUAAAUUAUAGAAACGUGCUGCUGUGUGAAAACCUUAACCUAGGCAUUUAGGUUAGGGUUUGUAACUAUUUAAUUUUUAUUUUUUUAUUUAUUGGUAAAAAAAGAGAAAAUUGUAGGACGAGUAAUCUAAAAAUACGUGAAGAUCGGGGUAAGCAGAAUAUGAGAAAAAAAUCCACAUAGCUGCGGAUCUGGGUGGUUUUUUUAAAACCACUUCGCUCUGUCCCGUAACCAUUCCUAGCCACACCGAGAGAGUAGUUUAGAACUUGUGGAAAAAGAAAAAAAUUAACAAUGAGAAAGUAGAAAAUAUAAUUAAAAACAAAAUUGUAGGAAAAAAUAAUUUUCUAUUUGGUUUUAAGAGAAGGAGAUGAAAGAAAAUUAUAAAAAAAACUUAAAUAAACAAAGAAAAAAAAAAUAAGGAAAGAAUUUGAAGAAAAAAAAUGAGAAAAUGAGAAAAAAUAAAUUACUUAUAGUAUUUUCCGGCAAAAUUUAGAACCGAACCGAACCAAACCAAAUCAAACCGAACCGAACCAAAUCAAUCCAAACAAAAAUUAUGAAUUUUCAUAUUUCUCCCUUUAUUUUCCAAGGUACCAAACUCAGCCUAAAAUUGGAGAUAAGAGGAAUAUAAAUUCCCCGGAGGAGGACCGUAAAAAUCUUGUUUGUUGCAUUCAUAUGAAAAAAAGCCUAAAAUAGGGGUAAAAUUGUCUUUUGACAAAAAAUAACAAUUUCCAAGUCCUUCUUUUACGCCGUGAAACAAAAAGAAAAAAACCCCAACGAAAAAUCUUUGGCAUAAAUCUCAACACACGAACUCAAACGAGGAAGUUAACGUCAAUCCUGGUCUGUUUCUUCCUUCCGUUUUAACACUUCCUCUGCAACAUCAAUGGCUGAUCCCAAAAACUCAAAGAUGAAGCAAAAACCCAGAAUCCUCAAUUCUCAUAUUCACAAUGCGCAUUGCAGCAAUUGGCCUCUUGUACCUUCCUUUCUCUCUUACUUCCACAAUGGGUUUUCCAAGAUUCCCCGCCUAAAACCCACAGAACUUGGGGGUAAGGCCAAGACCAUCCGAGACCGUAAGUACCUCAGAGAGUCCCUUAUUGGGGAAACAGAAUCGACUGCGCCCUGGGGAACGGAAAGGCCUGCGAGUCCUGCAGGUGUUUGGGCCAUCCAGGAUCAAGCCUCAGGUGUGCCCUUGAAGAAGCCAUGGUCUUGCCUCAUCCACGUAAUUUUUGGAAAAGUCGGAUUGCAUUUGUUGAGUUUUGUUUUUUUGUUAUAGCUUAGGCAUAAGCACUGUAGGUGAGUUGGGCUUUAAUUUCUUCUUGUGGCGAUUACCAUUCCAAGACUUUUUAAAACCUUUCCUGAUGAAGGGUGGGAUGGCUGAAGGAUUUUGAUUUUUAAUGAUCUUUGGAAUGAAGUUCAGGAUAAUCGCAUGUUUAUGAUCAAUUGUUAUAGUAGCGCGCUAUAUCAAGCACCUUUUAGUAAGUGUUGUUAGAGGCAAAAUGUUGUAAACUGGAGAUCGCUUUACCGUGCUUUUUAUGUGUCAUUCCUAUAUUUCACAGUUGAGUAUCUGAAUUAUCGAAUCUCGAAUAUUAAUAUGUUUACUUGGGGUAUUGACGUUUAUGUUCCUUGGGCAUCCUUGAAUGUGGGGAAUUCUCCUCCCUUUAGGGGAAAAUACCAUGGGACAGCGUGAUUCUGUAAAUUUUGCGAGUACUACCAAAGUUGACCUGAAUGUUUGAUGAGUUGAUCGUUUCAUAUUUUUACGAGUGUCUCUUUACCAAAAUUUCACAUUAGAUCCAUAACGACCCCACCCCCAUAAUUACUUGGACCGGCCACAACCUAGGGCACCUUGUGUUAGCUACGCCUCAAUUAUCUUCACCACCACGACAGCUCGACACUGUAAGGCCGUCAUCCAGCAUUACAGUUUGAACUUCUGAACAUCGAUAUAGUUUUUGGAUCCUUUGCACCCUAAAAUCUGAACACAGCCUGCGAUUGGCAACUAUGUUUGCUGAACAGACACCUAUCGUAUCGCGACUUUUUAAACAAAACAUCAUGAAUAGGUUCAGAGCAUUUGAUUAACAAUGGUUGCUUGUGUGACAACUGGUUUUGUCGAUGAGUGGAGUAUCUCUCUCUCUUGAUUUCAUGAGUGACCACAGGCAUUUCACGGAUUUACGGUUCUUUGUUGAUGCCCUUUUGUGGAAGUUGGGUUUCAUGGUGGUGCAGAUGGAUGGAGAGGUUAGGUCAAGGAGGCUGGGGGGACGGUGUGGAUGGUUGUGGGCGAGGUCAGGAGGUCGUGGGGUGGUAAUGGAGGCUGGGGGGAGGUUUUUGGGGUGGCAGCCACAAGGUUGUCUAGGUGUGGUAGUGUAGGUGCGCUCGGUUGGUGGCGGGAGGAGGUGGCUGUGAAUUUUUUUUUCUUCAAUUUUUAUGAAUUAGGGCAUGUCUGGGUGGUAAUUUGAUUGAAGUGUAAAGUAAUUAUAAAAGAUUUAUUUGUUUUCAGGUCCUUAGACCCCUUGGUUUGGAUAUGGAAGUUCCCUUGGAGGAUUGCUCUAAAGAUUAAAUAAAAUCUUGCUUUCUGAAGGAUUUGAAAAAGUAGAAGUUCGAUAUGGAAAAGGAGGUUUGGUGGAGGCAGCCGAUCAUGUUGACCCGUGGGUCUAUGGAGUUGUGGACAGAAGGAACGGAAAUCAGUUGAGUGUGAGGUAAAAAUGUCAAUAAAAUCAAGAAAUUGCGAUGGAAAUCAUUAAAGGGACUGUGGCAUUGAAAAUAAAAAAUGUAAAGAUCUAACUGCUGUGACACUGGCCAACUUGGUUAUGGAACUUAGAAGUAAAAUUCCGACCCUGUUCUUCCCCACUUUGACAACUGGCUGCAUACACAAUGGCGAAUCCUCAAAGCCUAAAGAUCCAAAGCAAAAUAUCCAGAUGGGUAUUCUUUGAACUUGGAUUAAUUCCUUCUCUAUUUAGGUAAAGAAAAAAUGUGGUCGUGCUGUAGUUGUAAAAUUUGGCUGAGUACGACAAAGUUGAAACUGUUGUCCGAUGUGUAUGAUAGUUUAUGGUUUAGAUCAAAAUGUAUCAAUACCAAAAAAUCACCUUUAGAAGUUCAUGAAUUGAAGGCAUGUAAAUUGAGUUUGUAUUGCAUUUUCCAAAAGGGUUAUAGCAAGUAAUCUUUUAUCACUGUCUUCACAAUAAGAUGUGUGUGAAAUCCUAAAAGUCCUCUGGCAUUGGUGUGAGUGAUUGUCAAGUCGAUAAGGAUUCUGAUUUCCUAAAUUUUCUUGUUGCAGAACUUUUGUGUGCCUUCUAGAUGUGUAUUAAUCCAUUACAUAAUAGCAAGGGAUUCUCAUCAGUCAACAAUGCAAACUUAGAGGCAAGGUAAGUUUCAUUUGGCUUAUGAUGCAAUGAAUCCUCUCUUGGUUAUAUGGCAAUAGAAGGAAAAAGAAAUGAGAGAAAGCUUACCAACUGGUGGUGGGUUUUGUACUUCAAAAAGUUGUUUGCAGAACUUAUAGAUUAUUCCCCAUGGUUGCUAUUCUUUGCUCUCAAUACAGCAAUUUCAGGAUAUGGUUCAUUGCACUGUACAAAUCUAGCAAAGGUUUUGUGUAUUACAUGAUAUAGGGUUUUCUUAAGUUUUCUCUUUCAAUAAAAUGAAGCACGACAUGGUGAUCGCUUUCAACAUGAAAUAUAUGACGGAAAAAACCUAAAGUACAAAAAGGACUUGUUGAACCACCAGUUUGAAAUCUCAACUUUGUUUUGGGUGAUAAAUUGACCACUACUCAGAGAAGUAACCAAGGGAGGUUUGCCUAACUACGCUGAUAUUUGCUUGAUGUUAUUUAUUAGGUGGGCCCCGCUAGCUCCAUGUGCCAUGGAUUCUUGGAUGAUCUUGACCUCAUGUCCAACACUGUCACUGUAAUUUUAGAUGGAUUCUGAGACAUGGCAUCAAACUUUCUCUCAACUAGUAUGAAGUUGGGGAGUAGAGGAAUUGCCCAGUACAUGAGUAGUCGGGCUGAACUCAAAGAGGAAAAGUCAAUUCACAAAUAUCUGAUGAUAAUCGCAACUGCCUAGCCCACUUCAUGGUAAACUAAUUAUUGACAUUGCCAUUGGUUCAGAUGUCAUAAGCGUGGCCUUACUAUCUUUAAGGUGAUAUGGUAUGCAAAUUUAUCUUCUUGUGAAACCUAAGGUAGUUUGUAGAGAUUUCAAAGCUUGGCUACUUUAUGUAAGGUUUUGAUCUUCAUAAGUAUCCAGGUUUAUGGAGUGCAAGGACCGAAACAAUCGCAGUGCUAUAAUGUUGCCCCCGUAUUCAUGUCUUCCCCUCAUGGCUUCCAAGAAAACUACGAGAUUACAGCAGAAUAAGGUUGGUACUGUUAAUCCUAAGUUCUGGUUUAUCCCUCAGUUAUGACAAAAUGGUACAUGGUACCACGUUUGAUUUGUUAAUUAUUGUGCUAAAAAAACAAAACAACUUAUAUGAAUCACAAAAAUGCUUCGAUGGUGUUGCCUUGUAUUUAACUAGGUCUGUGUAGUGACAAAGUUGGACAACUUUUUAGGUGUUUUUUUUUAAUUCAUAAAAUCUUCCUUUCUAAAUUAAUGCAGAAGUGCAAGGAAUCUGUAUCAUUUCAGUUCAAUAGAGGGUUAGAUAUUCCUAUCGCAUGCAUCAAAAAAUUUGAUGUAGUUCAUAAAUCAGGGCCUUUGGGGGAAUCUUAUCUUCUUGGUUCACUUGUUCAAAACCAUGUACUUUAUGCGGUCCUCGUGAAAAAAAAAAAUUCGUUGAAGUGGAAAUUAGUGUGGUAAAAUUCACUUCAAAGUUCACUUUUUCAUCAUAUUAUUACUUCCGAUUGCGUGAAAUCCUAUGUUAUAUUAGAUUCCUUGGUGUCAAUGCAAAAGAAUUAUAGCCCACUUUUACUGUCAAACUAACGUCCUCAAAUUCAAAGAACCACGCAGAUGUUCUUGUAGAACCCUAGAAAAACGAAGACAUUUAAUUUUUGAGAAAACAUAGAUUACAAAUUUAUAAGUGAAGAGAUUGGGGAUUUAAUUAUAGCAUCCCAAAAUUCAAACCACUUCAAGAUGAUUUAACUAAAAAAGUAGAAGGAUUUCUGUUAGUCUAUUUAUGACAUACCUUGCUUGUCAAAAACCAAUUAUCCGACUCUAGAGAGGGAAUAAGUGAAUAUGGUGGUGGUGGCUGGUGGAGCAGCAAUGAUAAUUUGACUUAUAAGCCUCUGAGGAUGAUAAUGCUCCAUCAAGAACGGUAAAUAAGGUUUCAAAGUUUGAGGGCGAGAUGUAUAUAAAAUUAAUUAAAACACGCGCGCACAUGCAGAGAGACAUAGGAGUUGCCAUAUAUCAGUGAUGCGGGCAGCGUAUAGAAAAGUUCAAGUAGACAAAACAAGGAAAAUGUUCCUCAUACCUGUUGAUUCUUGCAUGAACUAGGAAAGCAGGCGUCAAAAGCCUCGUUGUUUCAAUAGCAUACCAUGAAACAAUUGAGAUUGAGAUAGAAAAGAUUGAAGUAUCAAAUGACUAUGAAAAUAUUAUUUACCAAUAAUAUGCGUUGAGCUAUUACAAUUCUGUUUAAUAAAGAAACCAAAAUUUGGUUUUCUGGAAUGAAGGAUUGAGUGCAAUGGUCAUUCGUUUGGGUUGAUUCGGCUAAAAACCCACAGUAUGCACAUUCUGAAUGGGUCAUCGUUCACUAAUGUAGGGAAAUGGCCAUUCACAUUAGAGAGCCAAGGAGUGUAAUGAUCGAUGAUCCCUUCCUUCUCUAUUUUUUGUUGAGCCAAGAGAACCAAAGUGGUCCCCAAACUCUUUACCCAUUUCACUAAUUACACCUCCCAGUACCCCACCGUUGCCACCUCACCACCACACCACAAGGACAAAACCACACCAUAAUACACGGCCACGACACUCAAAACCACAGACCAUGACCACGUGGGUGGACCUGGGUAUAUAUCGUUUGGUUUAUUUACAGUGAUCUCAAUGAAAAGAAAGUAUCUGGAAAAGAAUGCAUAUGGUGUAAUUAGCUAAAGAUAAACACGCACAACAACUGAGUUGACUCCCAAAUUCCGUGUAAUUUAUACACUUGAGCAUUAUUAUAUAUCAUCAGCCAAUUUAUACUUUUUGCUAGUUUGCUUAACAGAAGUAACAUUUCCCUUAAUUAGAAAGUUGGCAAGAGUCUCAAUGCCAAACCUGCAGUGAAGGCAAUCUCUAUGGGAAUCUAUGUUACAUGGGGUGGUGUGGUGGUGUGGAUGUAGUAAUGCUGAUGAAAAUAGGGGAAUUUUUCCCAAUAUUUCAUUAGAAUUGUAAUUUUUGUAUAAAAAAAACAAAAUUUGACCAGGUUCUCUUGGUCCCUGUGUAGAUUUAUUUAAGUCCAGUUAUACCAAAUAUUGGGAUGGGAAUGAGAUUUCAUUAUUGGAUGAUUCCCGACAUUGUUUCCAAAGAGGGGGAUGGGAACGACUCUUUCCUAGCUCACUCCUUCCAAAUCAAAAAAACAUUUUGGAGAAAGCUAGGGAUAUUCAUGCAGUGAUCAACCAAUUACCUUGAGUGAUAACCAGGAACUAAAGCAAAUACAAAUUUUUAACUUGUCUAAAUCAAGACUUAAACAAUAUAUUUUUUUUAGCCUGGAUCUUCGAGUGAAUCAAACACACUUGGCAGUGAGUGAUAAAAAGGAAAUACAAGCAAAUACAAAUAUUUUUAAAUGUUCUUAAAAUCAAAGACGUAACAAUUAUAAGCCUGGAUAAUUCAUGAGUGAAUCAAACAGAAUGGAGUGAUAAAAAGGAAAUACAAGCAAAUACAAUAUUUUUAAAUUGUCAAAUCCAGGACUUAACAAUUUAAGCCUUCAUUAAAAAGAAAGAAAAGUUCACAUGUAAGUAAUAAAACAAACUAAAGACAAA
rnacentral:lncRNA from 1 species